rnacentral:rRNA from 1 species
AGUGAACGCUGGCGGUAGGCCUAACACAUGCCAGUCGAACGGCAGCACAGUAAGAGCUUGCUCUUACGGGUGGCGAGUGGCGGACGGGUGAGGAAUACAUCGGAAUCUACUUUUUCGUGGGGGAUAACGUAGGGAAACUUACGCUAAUACCGCAUACGGCCUACGGGUGAAAGCAGGGGAUCUUCGGACCUUGCGCGAUUGAAUGAGCCGAUGUCGGAUUAGCUAGUUGGCGGGGUAAAGGCCCACCAAGGCGACGAUCCGUAGCUGGUCUGAGAGGAUGAUCAGCCACACUGGAACUGAGACACGGUCCAGACUCCUACGGGAGGCAGCAGUGGGGAAUAUUGGACAAUGGGCGCAAGCCUGAUCCAGCCAUACCGCGUGGGUGAAGAAGGCCUUCGGGUUGUAAAGCCCUUUUGUUGGGAAAGAAAUCCAGCCGGCUAAUACCUGGUUGGGAUGACGGUACCCAAAGAAUAAGCACCGGCUAACUUCGUG